rnacentral:misc_RNA from 1 species
UAAAAAAAAAAUCAUAAUUUUAUAUGCAUCACCAAGGAACUCUGAGAUAAAAAAAAUACAGAAGGAAAUUAAAAAUGAAAAAUUAAUGGAGAAAAGCAAUGAUGCCCUAUUUAUUCUGACACAACAUUUCUAGAAUUACCUGAUUAAAAACAUCCCUUAUUGAACUCUUCUUUUGGUUGGGGAGAACAGGGGGGUUUAUCCUGUCUGACCAACAUACUGAUAAUCUGAUUCAAUUUCCUUUUUCUCUCAUGGAUAGUAAAAUGGAUACAGUAAUGCUGCAAUGUCGGUUUAUGCCUGGUAAUCAAAGUGACAAUCAUUCACAACAAGAAGCUAGAUUUUUAGAGGCACUAUCCCAAUGCUUCUAUGAGCCCCUGUUCUAACACAUGGGACCAUUUAGAAAGUAAAUAUUUCUUAGUUUGCUUCUUGAUGACACACCUUGUGAGAAUUUGGAUACUGGAAGAAUUAAAAAUUACAAUGGCUAAGUAAAACAUAGAAACAAGC